GCACAAGGGACAAAAGUCUGAAAUGAGCAUGCAUUCUGAGGAUUGGCUUUCCACAAGUAGACUUUGGCAGUAUUCAAGGAAAGAGAAAUUGAAGUGAUGAUUUUAAUGUUCAGCCACUGCUUUGCACCAGCUUGGACCUUGAUCUUUAUGUGGUUGUCUUUAAUUUUCAGUAGCAGUGAGCCAUGGCUUUUCUUUAGAAGGAAACAUUUAGAGGGAGGGAAGGGGGGUGGGAGUUAGAGUUUCAAAAGGAGAGAAUUAACUCCGUUGUCCCUGUGGGCACACAGCGUACAGCUGGCAUUUUACAGAUGGCCUGUGAAGAUGCACGUGGGACCAAACGGUGAAGGCUCCAAGGCUUCUCCCAGGAUACCUCCUUAGGAGGAACACAGUUUAAAAAGAAGGUCAUGGAGUUCCCGUUGUGGUUCAGCAGGUUAGAAUCUGACUGGCAUUCGUGAGGAUGCGGGUUCGAUCCCUGGCCUCGCUCAGUGGGUUAAGGAUCCAGCUUUGCCACCAGCUGCAGUGUAGUUUGCAAAUACAGCUCAUAUCCAGUGUUGCUGUGACUGUGAUGUAGGCUGGCAGUUGCAGCUCUGAGGUGACCCCCUAACCUGGAAACUUCCAUAUGCUGCAGGUGUGACCCUAAAAAGAAAAAGAAAACAAAAAAAAAAAGAAGGUCAUGAUUCUCAUCAAACAUUAUCCUCCUCUUACAACAAGUAAUAAUAGGAGUAACACUAAGGCAAUACCUACUAUUGCUCAAUGCAUGAAAUUAAGUCGAACAGGUAAACCAGACAUACAACUACUCAGUGCUGUCCUCCUUGGGAGGAAAGAGAAGCAGACACUGAGGGAGUUUGCUGAUAAUCUUUAUUUAUAUAUCACACAGUGCUUGAGAGUAAAUGUCUCUAGAACAUACAAAUGAAAAAAGCUGGCAGGUCAAAUGAGACCAAUGCUAAAAAGCUUCUUGGAAGGAAGUAAAGUUUAUUUAUGAAGUGGUUUAAGGACUCAAGAUGUAGGCUCACUGACAGAAGGGCCGGGCCUCGGGAAAGGCUACGUACAAGUAGGGGAACUGAAAUGGUUACAUCAUGAUUCGUUAAGAAUCAUGUCCUAGUCCUAGGGGAGAAGAAAAUGGACAGGGACAAAUGGAAUUUCUUUGUUGGGAGAGAAAGGAAGUUAUUAAAGGGCUUCCAAACAUUCCCUCUAUUAAAACCAUGAAUGAGUUCCUGUUGUGGCUCCGUGGUAACGAACCCAACUAGUAUCAUGAGGAUGAGGGUUCGAUCCCUGGUGCCACUCAGUGGGUUAAGGAUCCAGUGUUGCUGUGGCUGUGCUACAGGCUGGCAGCUGCACCUCUAAUUCAACCCCUAGCCUGGGAAUUUCUAUAUGCCACAUGUGUGGCCCUAAAUAGGAAAACAAACAAAUAUGCGUGUGUUCCCCAGAUCUAGUUUUCCCUUGAUCUGGUUUUACAAAAGCUGACAAUAAACCAAUUCUGCUUUAUAGGAUGCACCUUAUGUGGGGUAUGUCCAUGAAUCUAGGUAUGUGAUCCACCUUGAGAAACAACAGCACAGCUUAGUGUAAUAACUUUUAAAGAUAACCAUUGCUAAUUUGAUGAUUAUCAGUUGCCAUUAAAUGAAUUGUCUGUUUUGUUUUUUGUUUGUUGGUUUGUUUGUUUGUUUGCCACACCCAUGGCAAGCAGAAAUUCCUGGACCAAGAGUCCAGUCCGCACCACAACAGUGGCUCAAAUCCCAGCAGCGACAAUGCUGGAUUCUUAGCUGCUAAGCCACCCGGGAACUCUGUGCAAUUCUUUUUUAAAAAAAGGGCUUCCAGUGCUGUACUGAAAUUUUUAGGUUGCUAUAUUCUUCUAAGUCUCUAAUGCUGAAGACCUUAGAGUUAUCUUUGACUCAUAACAAAUACCUGGUUAGUUCUAAAAGCCUGCCCUGCUUUCCCAGACCCCUCUCCACAAGCUUCCUUUGCACUGGUAUGCACUCCCAUCCUACCAUAUUGCACCUGACUGCUGUACAAACUCUCUCCAUUUUUGCUUACCUUCUUUCUAGCCAUUCUUCAAGGUUGAUGUCAAAUUUCCUCCGUGACGUCUUAAUUGAUUCCUGUGUAAUGUGAGCCCUCAUUCUUCUGAACUCUGUUAGCAGCUUCCUCUACCAACCCUGCUCCUGUUCACUUUAUAUGAGUGUGACAUUCAUUUCUAAUUAUAGCAUUUUAGGACUGAAUAGGACAUUAAACAUCGUGGAGAUUCGGAAUAAAAAUAUUUCACCUGGGGAGUUGUCUGGUGGCCCUACCGGUUAAGGAUCUAGUGUUGUCACUGCUGUGGAGUGGGUGGGAUUCCUGACUCAGGAACUUCUGCAUGGCUAAAAAACUUUUCAUUGGGGUUCCUUGCUUUGCCAUUUUUUCUAUUCGAUCCUGCACAGGUCACUCCAUUAUCAAUGAAAUCGGACUAAGGAUGGCUGUCUUAAAGGAUUCUUGUGGAAAAUUCAAUGAGAUCAUGUAUAUUAGAGUUUUGCAACUCAAAACUAUAAGCUUAGGACUAGCAGCCUUGGAGGAUGUUAGAAAGGCAGAAGCUCAGGUGUCUUCUUAGACCCAGUGAAUCAAAUCUGUAUUUUACCAUUAGCUCCAGGUUAAAAUUAAAUUUUGAGAAGCAUUCUAUUGGAGCACUUACAAAUUCUAACCUGAAAAUUUAACCCAGGUGUCACUAAAGUCCUAGUUUUAUAAUUAAUAUUAUAAAAUUAAGUGAUAACCCAAGAUGGGUGGUAGAAUUUGAAAAAAACUCCAAUCUUCUGAAUUAUUUCUCCAUCCUAUUCGAUUUAAAACAUAUAGAAUGCAAGGUCUCUGUCUGUCUCCGUACUUAGCACUUAGUAGGGCUCUUAAUAAACUUUGGUUUUCUAUUGUUACAGCAGUAGGUACAGAGCCCUUGUUCACUCUAGUUUUAGGCAUCUCCCAGCUCAUAUUACAUCUCAGUUUUUCUUAUCACUAUCAAUCUGUAUGUGUUUCUCACAGAUGUUUAAGUUUCACUUUUUUUAUUAUAGAAAAAUGACAAAUAAUAGUUCCCACUGUGGCUCAGCUGGUUAAAAAAACAACAUAGUGUCCAUGAGGAUUCGGGUUUGAUCCUUGGCUUUGCUCAGUGGGUUAAGGCUCUGGUGUUGCCGCAAGCUACUGUGUAGGUCACAAAUGUAACUGAGAUCCAGCGUUGAUGUGGCUGUGGUGUAGGCUUCAGCUGCAGCUCCGAUUUGACCCCUGGCCCAGGAACUUACAUAUACCGGUGUGGCCAUACAAAUAAAAAAAAAAAAAAAGACAAAUAGGAAAAAACAAGAAUAGAUAAAAUUUGAAAUGACCAUUGUCACCUAAAUUCAACCACCCGUACAGAGAUAAACUAUUAAGUUUUGGGUACAUGUUAUUCUAGAAUUUGUCUUACUUCACAUAUAUUUCUAUUUUCUAAAAAUAUGAUAAUAUUAUAAAUAUUACUUUGUAACUUUUUUUUUUUUAAUUUUGUCUUUUUAGGGCUGAACUCUUGGCAUAUGGAGGUUCCCAGGCUAGGGGUAGAAUCGGAGCUGUUAGCCACUGGCCUAUACUACAGCCACAGCAAUGCCAGAUCUGAGCUGCAUCUGCGACCUACACCAAGCUCAUGGUUAUACUGGAUCCUUAACCCACUGAGAGGCCAGGGAUUGAACCUGCAUCCUCAUGGAUACUAGUCAGACUUGUUUCUGAUGAGCCACAACAAGAACUCUCCGUAACUAUUUUUUUUUUCAUCGUUGACAUUUUCCCACAUCCAGAAUACAGCCUGCUGUGGCUCAGCUGAAGCAAAUCCGACUAGUAUCCAUGAGGAUGUGGGUUCAAUCCCUGGCCUCACUCAGUGGGUUACUGUUCCGGCAUUGCGAUGAGCUGUGGUGUAAGUCACAGACACAGUUUGGAUUACGUGUUGCUGUGGCUGCAGUUGUAGGCUGGCAGCUAUAUAGUUCCGAUUCGCCCACUAGCCUGGGAACUUUCAUACUUCUGUACGCAGCAGGUAUGGCCCUAAAAAAUAAAAUAAUAAUAAUAAUAAUAAUAAUAAUAAUAAUAAAGAACAUAAAUUGAUAGGAUCAUCUUCAGUGGCUACAAACCAUUCUAGUUAUUUUGUCUUUCUCCUUUUUUUUUUUAAACCAGUUAAGUUGUUUCUGUUUGUUUGUUUGCCUUUAUAAAAUGACUGGGUUCAACAUCCUCCUACAUAUACGACUAUAAACUGAAUGCUUAUGCCCUCAAAAUUCAGAUAUUGAAACCUAGUUCCCAUUGUGACGAUAUUUGGAGGUGGGACCAUCAGGGGUUAUUAGGUCAUGAGAAUGGAACUGUCACUAAUGGAAUUCAUGCUCUUAUGAAAUAAACCCCAGAGAGCUCUUUGGCCCCUUCUGCCACGUAAGGACACAGUGAGAAGGGAUGCCUGUGAACUAGGAAUCAGGCUCUCAAAUCUACCAAAUCUGGAGGCACCUCUAUUUUAGACUUCCCAGUCUCCAUAACAGUGGGAAAGAAAUGUUUGUUGUCUGAGCUACUCAGUCCAUGGUAUGUUUGUUAUAGCAAUUUGAACAGACUAGGAUAUAGAUCCUUGUACAUUUGAUCAAUGGUGUUUUUAAAUAUUAAUUCUAGAAGUGAUAUUGAUAUGCAGACGGUGAGUACUUCUUAAGACUUUGCCGAAGUUCCCAUCAUGGCUCAGAGGUAUAAGGACCCUGACUAGUAUCCAUGAGGACUCGAGUUCUAUCCCUGGCUUUGCUCAGUGGCUUAAGGACCCUGAGUCACUAUAAGCUGCAGUGUAGGUUGCACACGCUGUAGCUCUGAUUUGACCCCUAGCCUGGGAUCGUCCAUAAGCCAUGGGUGUGGCCCUAAAAAGACAAAAAAAAAAAAAAAAAA
rnacentral:lncRNA from 1 species